rnacentral:rRNA from 1 species
CAGUCGCCGCGGUAAGACAGAGGAUGCAAGCGUUAUCCGGAAUGAUUGGGCGUAAAGCGUCUGUAGGUGGCCUUUCAAGUCCGCCGUCAAAUCCCAGGGCUCAACCCUGGACAGGCGGUGGAAACUACCAAGCUAGAGUACGGUAGGGGCAGAGGGAAUUUCCGGUGGAGCGGUGAAAUGCGUUGAGAUCGAAAAGAACACCAACGACGAAAGCACUCUGCUGGGUCGACACUGACACUGAGAGACGAAAGCUAGGGGAGCAAAUGGGAUUAGAUACCCCCGUAGUCCCUGUCUCUUAUAC